GUUGACUCUUGUUUUUCCUCGCUCGAAUGCUUCUUUUCUUCUAUGGUUUACUAUUGACGCUUGGUCGUUUUGGUUCGAGUUGAUAUAUUUUAGUUGUUGAGGCAUAGACCAUGUCUUUUUGUGUGAUUUAUGCCUAGAAUGCCUUUGAUUAAUAGUUUGGUUUUUUACCUUUGAUUAUAAUCUCGAAAGUUUGUUUCCUUCUUG
rnacentral:misc_RNA from 1 species